rnacentral:rRNA from 1 species
GACGAACGCUGGCGGCGUGCUUAACACAUGCAAGUCGAACGGAAAGGCCCUGCUUUUGUGGGGUGCUCGAGUGGCGAACGGGUGAGUAACACGUGAGUAACCUGCCCUUGACUUUGGGAUAACUUCAGGAAACUGGGGCUAAUACCGGAUAGGAGCUCCUGCUGCAUGGUGGGGGUUGGAAAGUUUCGGCGGUUGGGGAUGGACUCGCGGCUUAUCAGCUUGUUGGUGGGGUAGUGGCUUACCAAGGCUUUGACGGGUAGCCGGCCUGUGAGGGUGACCGGCCACAUUGGGACUGAGAUACGGCGCAGACUCCAACGGGAGGCAGCAGUGGGGAAUAUUGCACAAUGGGCGGAAGCCUGAUGCAGCAACGCCGCGUGCGGGAUGACGGCCUUCGGGUUGUAAACCGCUUUCGCCUGUGACGAAGCGUGAGUGACGGUAAUGGGUAAAGAAGCACCGGCUAACUACGUG